ACACGAAUCUCGGGGGAUCCUGUUAAAAUGUAGAUCCUGACUGAGUGGAUGUGUGAUGGAGACCGGGAUGCUAUAUUUCUAUCAAGCUCCCAGGUGAUGAUGUU
rnacentral:pre_miRNA from 1 species